rnacentral:tRNA from 1 species
GCCCAUGUAGCUCAGUUGGUAGAGCACACCCUUGGUAAGGGUGAGGUCAGCAGUUCGAAUCUGCUCAUGGGCUCCA